UUACUUUUGCAUUCCCUCACAGAAAUGUUCUUUUACGUUCCCUCGCAGUACUGUACUGAUCAGUUAAUGCGGCAUAAUUGAAUACUGUAAGCCUUUCUUACGAUGGCCGCCGUACUUUCUGCUUUAAUAUAAGGUUAUCAUCAGGUUUUUCCAUGAAUAGAGCAUCAAGGGAAUGAAUACAUUUUAUAGGCGCAGUCAGAUGGCACAAAGCUCCAACACUGCUUCAGCAAUACAGCAAAUCUUUAACUUAUAAAAAUAUCAUUUUUAAAUAAUUUUGUAGAUUUUUAUUGCUUCUGGGUUUAUUGCGUUGUUUGGGAACACGAACGCAUUUUGUUCUAAUCGUAGCAAUAAAGCCAUUUUUU